UACGGAGGGGCUAGCGUUGUUCGGAAUUACUGGGCGUAAAGCGCACGUAGGCGGCUUUGUAAGUUAGAGGUGAAAGCCCAGGGCUCAACCCUGGAAUUGCCUUUAAGACUGCAUCGCUAGAAUUGUGGAGAGGUAAGUGGAAUUCCGAGUGUAGAGGUGAAAUUCGUAGAUAUUCGGAAGAACACCAGUGGCGAAGGCGACUCGCUGGACAGGUAUUGACGCUGAGGUGCGAAAGCGUGGGGAGCAAACAGG
rnacentral:rRNA from 1 species